rnacentral:rRNA from 1 species
AUUGAACGCUGGCGGAAUGCUUUACACAUGCAAGUCGGGCGGCAGCGCGGGGGCAACCCUGGCGGCGAGCGGCGAACGGGUGAGUAACACAUCGGAACGUACCCUGUCGUGGGGGAUAACGAAUCGAAAGAUUCGCUAAUACCGCAUACGACCUGAGGGUGAAAGCGGGGGAUCGCAAGACCUCGCGCGAGAGGAGCGGCCGAUGGCGGAUUAGCUAGUUGGUGGGGUAAAGGCCCACCAAGGCGACGAUCCGUAGCGGGUCUGAGAGGACGGCCCGCCACACUGGGACUGAGACACGGCCCAGACUCCUACGGGAGGCAGCAGUGGGGAAUUUUGGACAAUGGAGGCAACCCUGAUCCAGCCAUUCCGCGUGAGUGAAGAAGGCCUGGUUGUAAGACUCUUUCGGUCAGGAACGAAACGGCGGGACGUCUAACAUAGCCUGUCAAU